CCCUACUCAUUGCAAUGCCCUCAUUGGUCGAUAGAUCUGCCUGUGAGGAAGGUCAUGUCAAAUUAACAGCAGACUCACUUGUUUUGCACACGUUGAAGUCGUCGUUCUGAUGUCAUUGCCACAGGUCAACCGUUGAAGUUUCGUUGCGAGGAUAAAAUGCUGUCUAAAGGAAGACGUGUCGGAUUUAUAUUUGGAAUUGGUUGUUCAGCGGUCUUUCUGCUGAUCUAUUCAUCGCUGCAUCAGGUCGCAGUUAGGACGGAUACAACCACUGAACAUCCCCCGGUGACUAUCCUGGACAAAACG